rnacentral:rRNA from 1 species
UACGAAGGGGGCGAGUGUUGUUCGGAAUCACUGGGCGUAAAGGGCGCGUAGGCGGCCCUCUUAGUCGCGUGUGAAAGCCCCGGGCUCAACCUGGGAACGGCGCGCGAAACGGGAGGGCUGGAGUUCGGGAGAGGAGAGUGGAAUUCCCAGUGUAGAGGUGAAAUUCGUAGAUAUUGGGAAGAACACCGGUGGCGAAGGCGGCGCUCUGGACCGAGACUGACGCUGAGGCGCGAAAGCGUGGGGAGCAAACAGG